rnacentral:lncRNA from 1 species
AACCAUAUUAAACAACCCCAUCUAACCAUAUCAACAAAUCAAGACAAAAAGCUAGCUAUUCUUCUCUCUUACUCAUGGUGAAACCCUAGAUCCAAAAAGUGGCUCAAAUUGAGCUAGAAUGAGCAAAUUGAGGCAAUAGGGACAUAAACUAACCUCUUUUAGCAACCUCCUUCCUAGAAAUGAAGAUCAAAACCUCCCCCUUUGUAUUUUGAGAAAUCUGGAACUCCAAAAUCGCCCCAAUGAAAGGUGGGUGCGAGAUACUGUGUUCUGGUCGGGAGGAAGAAGGUGUAUUUAUACAGAGAUAACACAGGCGGUUGCUUAAGUCAACCGCCUGUGAUAAUCUUUUCCACAGGCGGCCGAAAAUCUCUGACACCGCCCGAUUUAUACCACAGGCGCGUCGUAACUGGAACCGUUUGUGGUAUAAAAAGGGAGCGCCAGCUUUGAGCCUCUUUCUACUAGUGUAGCAAACUAGAUUGGUUUUUUACCCAUGAAGAACGACGUGCACGCCAUCUCCUCUUGUGGAUGUCUGAUGAACUCUCGUGCGGCCAUAUUAUAUUAUACACCAAAAGACAGGGCUUUCAGAAUGUUUUUGGACUACUCGGCAAGCCGCGUUGUGCUGUAUGUGCAUGUGACCGCCAAGAUUCCAGAACGUUCUGGACCUGUUGCGUCGGUGUCUAGUAGACUAAACCGGCAUAUAUAAUACAACAGAAGCAUGUGACACGGACUGACCGACGCAUGUACGAAUUCGACAACCAGUUUUCUGACGUAUACGAGUGCAUGUACAUAUUAAGACUGCACUUGUUAGGCCUAACAAGUAUAGUUUUCAAGAUUCUCCGUCACAUCAAAUCUUGCGGUAUAUGUAUAAAGCACUAAAUAUAUGUAAAAACAAAAACUAAUUACACAGUUUAUCUGUAAAUCACGAGACGAAUGUUUGAUCCUAGUUAGUUCAUAAUUGAACAAUAUUUGCCACAAACAAACAAAAGUAUUACAAUAGUGAAAUCCAAAAACUUUUCGUAUCUAAACAAGGCCUU